UACAUAGGGGUCAAGCGUUGUCUGGAAUCAUUGGGCGUAAAGAGUAUGUAGGCGGCUAUUUAAGUCGGGCGUGUAAGCCCACGGCUCAACCGUGGAAUUGCGUUUGAAACUAUUUAGCUUGAGUACAGGAGAGGAAGGCGGAAUUCCCAGUGUAGCGGUGAAAUGCAUUGAUAUUGGGAAGAACACCGGUGGCGAAGGCGGCCUUCUGGUCUGUUACUGACGCUGAGAUACGAAAGCCAGGGGAGCAAAGGGG
rnacentral:rRNA from 1 species